GAACCUCACCCAGCCCCGACAUGGAAAUGAUUGACAGAUCAAUAGCUCUUUCUUGAUUCUGUGGGGGUAGUGCAUGGUGCAUGAUUGUUCUUAGUUGGUGGAGUGAUUUGUCUAAUUAAUUUUAAUAACCAACAAGGCUCUGGCAUGCUAAUUACAAGUUAACAACCGGUACACACACACACCAAGCAGUUCAGCAUCCAACAUCUUAAGAGGGACAACUAAGUUAAGAGACAACUAGACCACUUCUGGCAAUCUAUAAAAAGCUAAG
rnacentral:ncRNA from 1 species